AGACUUUGAUCCUGGCUCAGAGCGAACGCUGGCGGCAGGCCUAACACAUGCAAGUCGAACGGACCCUUCGGGGUUAGUGGCGGACGGGUGAGUAACACGUGGGAACGUGCCUUUAGGUUCGGAAUAGCUCCUGGAAACUGGGUGGUAAUAGCCGAAUGUGCCCUUCGGGGGAAAGAUUUAUCGCCUUUAGAGCGGCCCGCGUCUGAUUAGCUAGUUGGUGAGGUAAUGGCUCACCAAGGCGACGAUCAGUAGCUGGUCUGAGAGGAUGACCAGCCACAUUGGGACUGAGACACGGCCCAAACUCCUACGGGAGGCAGCAGUGGGGAAUCUUGCGCAAUGGGCGAAAGCCUGACGCAGCCAUGCCGCGUGAAUGAUGAAGGUCUUAGGAUUGUAAAAUUCUUUCACCGGGGACGAUAAUGACGGUACCCGGAGAAGAAGCCCCGGCUAACUUCGUGCCAGCAGCCGCGGUAAUACGAAGGGGGCUAGCGUUGCUCGGAAUUACUGGGCGUAAAGGGCGCGUAGGCGGACAUUUAAGUCAGGGGUGAAAUCC
rnacentral:rRNA from 1 species